rnacentral:rRNA from 1 species
AUGAAUAUCUUAAGCUGGAACUGUCGAGGGGGGGGGGACCCUCGGACAGUUCGUGAUCUUGUGAGUCUUGUCCAGACUCACUCCCCUAUCAUCGUGUUUUUGUGUGAAACUAGACAGUUGAAGAAUAAAAUGAGUAGGUAUCGGGCUCGUUUAGGUCUUAGAGGCUUUGAUGGUCUAGAUUGUGUUGGUCUCAGUGGAGGCCUGGCUUUGUAUUGGCAUGAGUCG